rnacentral:rRNA from 1 species
AUAAUCUGGCACCUUCGGUGUCCGAGUUGUAAUCUCUAGAAAUGUUUUCCGCGUUGGACCGCACACAAGUCUGUUGGAAUACAGCGGCAUAGUGGUGAGACCCCCGUAUAUGGUGCGGACGCCCAGCGCUUUGUGAUACAUUUUCGAAGAGUCGAGUUGUUUGGGAAUGCAGCUCAAAUUGGGUGGUAAAUUCCAUCUAAAGCUAAAUAUUGGCGAGAGACCGAUAGCGAACAAGUACCGUGAGGGAAAGAUGAAAAGCACUUUGGAAAGAGAGUUAACAGUACGUGAAAUUGUUGGAAGGGAAACGCUUGAAGUCAGACUUGCUUGCCGAGCAAUCGGUUUGCAGGCCAGCAUCAGUUUUCCGGGAUGGAUAAUGGUAGAGAGAAGGUAGCAGUUUCGGCUGUGUUAUAGCUCUCUGCUGGAUACAUCUUGGGGGACUGAGGAACGCAGUGUGCCUUUGGCGGGGGUUUCGACCUCUUCACACUUAGGAUGCUGGUGGAAUGGCUUUAAACGACCC